rnacentral:rRNA from 1 species
ACACGAACCGGACAAACGUUAUUCGGAAUUAUUGGGCUUAAAGGGUGUGUAGGCGGUCAUGUAGGUGGGGUGUGAAAUCCCUCGGCUCAACCGAGGAACUGCGCUCCAAACCCCGUGACUAGAGGGAGACAGAGGUAAGCGGAACUGAUGGUGGAGCGGUGAAGUGCGUUGAUAUCAUCAGGAACACCAGUGGCGAAAGCGGCUUACUGGGUCUCUUCUGACGCUCAGACACGAAAACUAGGGUAGCGAACGGGAUUAGAAACCCUAGUAGUCC